ensembl:lincRNA Gm42904 predicted gene 42904
AGAGUACAACCCAUAUGACUCCGUGACCUGAUGGUAACUUGUGGGAGAAAACCAUAGAACUUAAAAUAAGUCACAGCGCUGAAGGGGGUAGAAACAAAAAGACUGCAAAGGCAAGCUUCUGGUGCUUUCCUGGACCGUCCAAUAGCCAGACGACACGAUUCAGAAACUGCGAAAACCCACAAGCUCUUCCUUGUUAAAGCCUCACAGGGGCUCCUGUGCUUUUCUCACAGCUAUGGGCUCACUGAUAUCUCUAGUGGCAGAGACCAGCAGGACCCAGCAGGACCCAGCAGGACCCAGAAGGACCCAGAAGGACCCAGCAGGACCCAGCUCUCAGGGUACAUCAUGCAUCCUUAUAAACACCCUUCCCGAGUCUUCCUUCAGACUCGCUUUCUUUCAUCUUUUGACCAUGGAACAGCUCCUAGCUAAAUUCAGCAAUGGAAAUGUUCGUAUGCUUGCCCCAUAAGCAAGCCACAAGAUUCACAGGAAGCUGUGUUUACCCUGGAACAUAGAACAUGGAAGGAACAUGGGGAAGAGCAGUACCAUUGGCCAAUUUCACUUGACCUACCAAGAUCACACAGGCUGCAUUUCAAACUCUGAAGUAUAGUUCUACUUAAAGUGUCACCUUGGAGAUAAAUUAUCCUCUG